UACGUAGGCAGCGAGCGUUGUUCGGAGUUACUGGGCGUAAAGGGUGUGUAGGCGGUUGUUUAAGUUUGGUGUGAAAUCUCCCGGCUCAACUGGGAGGGUGCGCCGAAUACUGAAUGACUUGGAGUGCGGGAGAGGAAAGUGGAAUUCCUGGUGUAGCGGUGAAAUGCGUAGAGAUCCGGAGGAACCCAGAGGCGAAGGCGGCGCCCUGGCUCGCAACUGACGCUCAGACACGACAGGCAUGGGGAGCGAACGGG
rnacentral:rRNA from 1 species